rnacentral:rRNA from 1 species
UGGGGAAUAUUGGACAAUGGGCGCAAGCCUGAUCCAGCCAUGCCGCGUGAGUGACGAAGGCCUUAGGGUUGUAAAGCUCUUUUGGCGGGGAAGAUAAUGACGGUACCCGCAGAAUAAGCUCCGGCUAACUUCGUGCCAGCAGCCGCGGUAAUACGAAGGGAGCUAGCGUUGUUCGGAAUCACUGGGCGUAAAGCGCACGUAGGCGGAUAGUUAAGUCAGGGGUGAAAUCCUGGGGCUCAACCCCAGAACUGCCUUUGAUACUGGCUGUCUCGAGGUCGAGAGAGGUUGGUGGAAUUCCUAGUGUAGAGGUGAAAUUCGUAGAUAUUAGGAAGAACACCAGUGGCGAAGGCGGCCAACUGGCUCGAUACUGACGCUGAGGUGCGAAAGCGUGGGGAGCAAACAGGAUUAGAUACCCCCGUAGUCCCUGAGCGGGCUGGCAAGGCGCAU